AACGAACGCUGGCGGCAGGCUUAACACAUGCAAGUCGAGCGUGAAGCACUUUUCGGAGUGUGGAAAGCGGCAGACGGGUGAGUAACGCGUGGGAACGUACCUUUUGGUGGGGGAUAACGAUUGGAAACGAUCGCUAAUACCGCAUAUACCUUUAGAGGGAAAGAUUUAUUGCCAGAAGAUCGGCCCGCGUUAGAUUAGGUUGUUGGUGGGGUAAUGGCCUACCAAGCCUACGAUCUAUAGCUGGUUUGAGAGAAUGAUCAGCCACACUGGAAUUGAGAGACGGUCCAGACUCCUACGGGAGGCAGCAGUGGGGAAUAUUGCACAAUGGGCGAAAGCCUGAUGCAGCCAUGCCGCGUGAGUGAUGAAGGCCUUCGGGUUGUAAAACUCUUUCAAUUGUGAAGAUGAUGACGGUAGCAAUACAAGAAGCCCCGGCUAACUUCG
rnacentral:rRNA from 1 species